ACGCCACGCGCGCGCGUGUGUGUGUGUGUGUGUGUAUGUAUAUAUAUAUAUAUGUAUAUAUAUAUAUAUAUAUAUAUAUAUAUAUAAACACACACACACACACACUGCUGUGUGUGCUGU